rnacentral:rRNA from 1 species
UACGGGGGGGCGAAGCGUUGUUCGGAAUUACUGGGCGUAAAGGGCUCGUAGGCGGCCAACUAAGUCGGAUGUGAAAUCCCCAGGCUUAACCUGGGAACUGCAUCCGAUACUGGAUGGCUUGAAUUCGGGAGAGGGAUGCAGAAUUCCAGGUGUAGCGGUGAAAUGCGUAGAUAUCUGGAGGAAUACCGGUGGCGAAGGCGGCAUCCUGGACCGACAUUGACGCUGAGGAGCGAAAGCUAGGGGAGCAAACGGG